AAGGAAUUAGUUUAAUAAAACAUUAACUUGUCAAGUUAAAGAUACUAAUCAAGUAUUCCUUA
rnacentral:tRNA from 1 species